rnacentral:rRNA from 1 species
UACGUAGGGUGCAAGCGUUAAUCGGAAUUACUGGGCGUAAAGCGUGCGCAGGCGGUUUCGUAAGCUUGAUGUGAAAUCCCCGGGCUCAACCUGGGAACUGCAUUGAGGACUGCGCGACUAGAAUACGGCAGAGGGGGGUGGAAUUCCACGUGUAGCAGUGAAAUGCGUAGAGAUGUGGAGGAACACCGAUGGCGAAGGCAGCCCCCUGGGCCUGUAUUGACGCUCAUGCACGAAAGCGUGGGGAGCAAACAGG